AGUUUGUGCAGCGUUUCUACUUUUGUCCUUAAAUGCAUUUAUUGAUUAGGUUAAUUUGAACCCCAAACGUCACAGAUAAAUGACAUCAGUAAAGGAGUGAUAUUCCCAAAGGGAGCAGGUGGAAGAUCACUGAGAAAAACCAACCCCUCUGUCAUCAAAACAAAACACUUUAUUUUCCUUCAUAUAACGUUUAUUUUCAGUUAUUGAUCAGAUAUAAUCAAGAUGUGCGGUGAUGUCUCUAUAACAGCAUCAUAUAUUCAGCUAUUAUCAUCUGUUUGCAGUUUUGUUUGAAUUGCUCAAAUGAGGUGUUAACCCCAAGUUCAUCAUCCAAAGAUCUGUCAUAAACACUUUUAGAGAAAUGGUUUGGUUCAUUUUCCCACAAACAUCAUGUUGUCUUUAUUUAACCACUGGAUCAGAGAAACGGCUCAGAAUCAGCUGUUUCUGUGAAUUAACUGGGUCAGGAAAGGCUUUGUUUUCACUGUUAGCCCGUUAGCUCCCGUUAGCUUUAGCCAGUUAGCUCCCGUUAGCUUUAGCCGGUUGUAGAAAAGACAGAAAUGCCUUCCGCUCUCUGAGGUCUGCACACUCGUUAUUAUUUCUAACGAGGCUUAGACCUCGCCUGAAUGAGGCCGAUGGGUUGACAGCAGCUGGAAACAUCUGGGUCGUUCAUAAUUUGCGAUGUUUCAGGGCUAAUGCUAACGGCUAACGGAUAACUUGAGCUGAAGUUUCCGGUUUUUGUUUCCAGGUCUCACCGGGUUCUGCUCUGGUUCUGGUCCGUCCAUGUGGCUCCAGUCUCUGGCUCCUCCUGCGCCCCGCUGUGCGCCCAUCUCCGCAGAAACCUCCGGCAAACACGAGGGAAAGCCACAAAAAUGAUACAAUUACAGUCAGAAAAAUACCGCUCUGACUGCGGGAAACUAGAGCGAGGAGCGUUUGUUUUGAACCUAAUGAUGAGUCUGUUCCAGGAAAUGACACUUCCGCAUCACCACAUCCGCCCGCAGCCCCUUCACAGUAAAAGCUUCAGUUCAGGGUUUAUACGAAUCUAGUCAAAUGUAAUGUGUUUUAACCUCUUAACCCCCACAUGAACCGAGCACAUUUUCUCCAGUUUGGCUUUACCCAAAUCUAAAAGCAAAAAUAUAUAUUAUCUAAUUUUUUAGGGUUAGGGUUACAG
rnacentral:lncRNA from 1 species